rnacentral:piRNA from 1 species
UCACAUUUUGCCAGUGUGUGCUCUUCUGA